ACUCUCACCACCAUGGUGGAUAUCACCAACUCGUUGAGAUGCUCAAGAAGUGGGAUGACUGCAGGAGUCAACUGGAUACCAUGCAGAAGUUCGUCGUGGAGUUGGGGCAGCAGAUCUCCCAGCUGCAGCAGCAUAAGGAGAAGCAGGAGGCUGUGGUCAAGCAACUGCAAGGAGCAGCUUCCAGGAGCAGAUCCAGGAGCAGAUCCACAGGCUGUCAGCACAGAUCUGGGACAUACGGAGCAGCAGUUCCAGUGGGAGCACAGCGAUGCCCUCUGGUUCAGCCAUGGCCCUGAGCCUCCUCGUGACGCUUCUCACUGCAAAGUGGCUGCACUGAGCACAGCGACACGGACCCGGGUGGCCCCUGUCAGUGUGGGGCCACGGGGAAACCAGGAGGAGAUGGGGCAAGGCACGUUCAGGGAACAGCGGUGCCACACGGUUCGGUGGUUCUAAACCAAUUUCCAAUAAAACUUCAUGCAAAUCCAAAGCGUUUUGCUGCUCCAGUGUCCUUUGGGGUGGCGGAUGGCACAGCCCCGCAGCCUGGCUUCGUCCAGGGGCUGAGCAUCCUCCCACGCACAGCACAAACCACACCACCCUGGGCUGUGACCGGAGAGAAACCACCGCCUGGAGCAACCGAGCACAUUGUGUGGCUCUGUCCCACGUCCCCAGCAUGGACCCUGCAGUGCCCAGAGCCACGCUGAAGGCAAUGGGGCUGUGCACGCUGCUGGUGCUGCUGGUGGCGGCGGUGACAGCGGCGGUGGCGGUGCUGCUGUGGCGCUCAGAGGCGCUGGGGAAGCUGCGGGGCUGCCAGGAGCGGGCGGCCAACGAGAGCCGUGUGCUGGAACUGCGGGUGGCACAGCUGGAGAUGGAGCUCGACCGACUGCAGCACGUGGCUGAUGAGAGACAGAGGGAGGAGGAUGCGCUGCGCCGGGAGCUCAGCCGAGUGCGCAAGGAUGGAGAGAAGCUCAACUCCAGCCUGCGGUCCUGCCGGGUGCAGGCGGCCAGGCUGGAAGCCAACAUCACAGCUCUGCAGGAUGAGGCGCAGGGGCUGCGGCGUGACAGGGCUGAGCUGUCCCGCAGGAACACAGCACAGCAAGAGGAGCUGGCUCAGGGUGCAGAGCGGGCGCUGGGGCUGCAGCAGAGGCUGGAGGAGAUGGCGGAGCAGCGGAGAGCCCUGAGGGCACGCGGGGAGCGAUGCGAGGAGCGGCAGCGGGAGCUCGAGGCCACGCUGAAGGACCGUGCAGCUGAGCUGGAUGCGCUGCGGCGGCGGUUGGGGCCCCGCACGGCACGGCGCAGGUGCUCCCCUUCCCGGAAGAGCUGAAGCCCCAUAGCACCCUCCUGUCCAGCCCUUCUUUGCCAGCAUGGACACCACGCACAGGAUGGCACCAGCCCUACAGCAGCAGAAACCAGGGCUGCCCAUUGCUCCCAGUCCCACCAGCACUAAAACCAGCAGCAGUUCAUCCCCUCUGAACUCAGCAGAGUCGGCACAGCACCAAUGACCCUCCUCACAUCCCCUCGUGUCCCCCCUCCCACAACACACUGAGCAGCUGCGGGUGCUGCCUGCUUGCUGGGACCAAAUGAUGGUGACCAGUCCUUGCUCUGAGGCCAGCCAGAGCCAUUCGUUAAUCAUUAAUUCUGUUCAUCAACUGAUUAAACAGGAAUGGUGCUCCAUGAAGUUCAACCCCCUUCUGCUCAACGUGCCCCGGUAAUUUGGCCAGCUCAGUGCUUAGGGAGCACUGUGCAGGUUACCAACACUGGGCUCUGCGGGUCAUGGGGCUGAGCCACUUGAGGGAGGGGGGGUGAUGGGAGGGAUGAGUGGCUGCCACUGAUUCCCAGCUCUUCCCUGUUCCUUUGAUCCACACGAAAGACAGUUUCCAGGAAAGUUGCUGCCGAUUUUCCUGCCGCUGCCACAGCGGUAUCCUGUGCAGAGGGCAGGGUGAGAGCAGGCAUCCGGCCCCCCUGCCCCAUAGGGGGGAUCACCCCCACCUCCCCCACGGCAUGGAGGGCACGGAGGGGCUGCAGAAAGGGGUUCACAGCCCCAAAUCCAGCGGUGCCCCCCACCCAGCCGUGCGUUGGGAUGGGCAGGACCCGUUCCUGUGGCCCAACCUCAAGGCAGCCCCAGCCCUUGGCACAGGAAGGAUUAAUUAUAGCCGGAAAAUAUAGUCUGGAAAAUGGGACAAAGAGGCAGAGAGUGUGUGUGGGAGGGG
ensembl:lncRNA